UCGUUCCCCUCCAAUCCUACGUGGGCCU
rnacentral:sRNA from 1 species